GCCAUUACCACUCGCAAAUGCCUUUUACAUUUCACGAAUGCAGUUUGCCUGAGUGCUAUCAAGGGUGUGACAUUUUUUGGAGUUGGCAAAAUAAAUUUAGAAUUAUUCCAAAUUGCCCAAGUCACUCAAUGGCUUUUGAAGGCUACAAGGAGGUGACAAUUGGUGCAGGUGUAAGGUUUAUGAGAGCAGAGUUCUAGUGUUAUUCUAUGAAGGGCGAAGAUGGGUUUGUGUAUAUGAGCUGGGGAAAUUUGUGCUCUAAACAAAGGAGAAGGGAGCAAGCUAAGGAACAUGGGAGUUACAUUAAUGAGUAGGGCAGUAGUUGGGUCUUGAAGAAGUUGGG
rnacentral:misc_RNA from 1 species